UACAGAGGGGGCAAGCGUUGUUCGGAAUUACUGGGCGUAAAGGGCGCGUAGGCGGCCUUCUAAGUCGAACGUGAAAUCCCCGGGCUCAACCCGGGAACUGCGUCCGAUACUGGAAGGCUUGAAUCCGGGAGAGGGAUGCGGAAUUCCAGGUGUAGCGGUGAAAUGCGUAGAUAUCUGGAGGAACACCGGUGGCGAAGGCGGCAUCCUGGACCGGCAUUGACGCGUGAGGCGCGAAAGCCAGGGGAGCAACGGG
rnacentral:rRNA from 1 species